UGCGCCACGACGGGAACUCCCCUUAUUUUUAUUUAUUUAUUUUUUUUGUUGGAACCAGCAAAUUUAAAUGGUUUGUUCUAUUUUUCAGCAGUAUCAGCUGGCGCUGUAAGAAUUUUGUAGGGACUGUCCUGGGAGCUUGCCAGUUUUGAGAUGGUGACUUGAGCUGGGCACUCACGGGUGCUCCAGGGAAUCGGCCCAGCCCUAUCUUUGGAACUGUCAUCACUACCACAGUGAAAAGCACAGCAGCCUUAGGGGCUCCUGGGGAAGCCCCACAAUGCACUCAAGCCAGAGGCAGGACCAGACCAACCCCCAAUCCCAGCUUUGUGAGUUUAUCUCUAGGAAUACGCCACAGGCCAGUGCUGUAUCAGUUUGGGUCCAGUCGGGAAAGAAAAAAACCACACGGUGAUUUGAACAGGGAAAGUUUAAUGUAAAGAAUUAUUGGAAUUCCCUGGUGGCCUAGUGGUUAAAGGGUCUGGCGUUGUCACGGCUGUGGCACAGGUUUGAUCCUUGGCCUGGGAACUUCUGCAUGCUGUGAAUGCGGCCAAAAUGACUAACAGUAAAUUUGAAAUAAAGGAGUCUUUGGUAA